rnacentral:rRNA from 1 species
UACAGAGGUCUCAAGCGUUGUUCGGAUUCAUUGGGCGUAAAGGGUGUGUAGGUGGCGCGCUAAGUCGGGUGUGAAAUUUCGGAGCUUAACUCCGAAACUGCAUUCGAUACUGGCGUGCUUGAGGACUGGAGAGGAGACUGGAAUUCCUGGUGUAGAGGUGAAAUUUGUAGAUAUCAGGAGGAACACCGGUGGCGAAGGCGGCGAUCUGGACAUUUACUGACGCUGAGACGCGAAAGCGUGGGGAGCAAACAGG